rnacentral:rRNA from 1 species
UUUUCAAAACUUAGCGGCGGACGGGUGAGUAACACGUGGGCAACCUGCCCUUGAGACGGGGAUAACUCCGGGAAACCGGAGCUAAUACCGGAUAACACAUAUCUUCGCAUGAAGAUAUGUUAGAAGGUGGCUUUUAGCUACCACUCAAGGAUGGGCCCGCGGCGCAUUAGCUAGUUGGUGAGGUAACGGCUCACCAAGGCGACGAUGCGUAGCCGACCUGAGAGGGUGAUCGGCCACACUGGGACUGAGACACGGCCCAGACUCCUACGGGAGGCAGCAGUAGGGAAUCUUCCGCAAUGGACGAAAGUCUGACGGAGCAACGCCGCGUGAGUGAUGAAGGUUUUCGGAUCGUAAAGCUCUGUUGUUAGGGAAGAACAAGUACCUGUUGAAUAAGCAGGUACCUUGACGGUACCUAACCAGAAAGCCACGGCUAACUACGUGCCAGCAGCCGCGGUAAUACGUAGGUGGCAAGCGUUGUCCGGAAUUAUUGGGCGUAAAGCGCGCGCAGGCGGUUCCUUAAGUCUGAUGUGAAAGCCCACGGCUCAAC